CGAAGAGGACGACCUUCCCCAAAAAGAGGAGGACUGGUCUUCGGUCAAGGGUAUACGAGUAGCUGCGCUCCCCUGCUAGAACCUCCAAACAAGCUCUCAAGGCCCAGAUC